AUCAGCAAUGACCUCGCGCGGUUGGAUGGACCGAUGUUCGAUUAGCUAGUUGGUGGGGUAAUGGCUCACCAAGGCGACGAUCGAUAGCUGGUCUGAGAGGAUGAUCAGCCACACUGGGACUGAGACACGGCCCAGACUCCUACGGGAGGCAGCAGUGGGGAAUAUUGGACAAUGGGCGCAAGCCUGAUCCAGCAAUGCCGCGUGUGUGAAGAAGGCCUUCGGGUUGUAAAGCACUUUUAUCAGGAGCGAAAUACCACGGGUUAAUACCCUAUGGGGCUGACGGUACCUGAGGAAUAAGCACCGGCUAACUUCGUGCCAGCAGCCGCGGUAAUACGAAGGGUGCAAGCGUUAAUCGGAAUUACUGGGCGUAAAGCGUGCGUAGGCGGUUAUUUAAGUCUGCUGUGAAAUCCCCGGGCUCAACCUGGGAAUGGCAGUGGAUACUGGAUAGCUAGAGUGUGAUAGAGGAUGGUGGAAUUCCCGGUGUAGCGGUGAAAUGCGUAGAGAUCGGGAGGAACAUCAGUGGCGAAGGCGGCCAUCU
rnacentral:rRNA from 1 species